rnacentral:misc_RNA from 1 species
AACGCAUAUUGCACUCCCUGGUAUUCCGGGGAGUAUGCCUGUUUCAGUAUCAUGAACAACACCUCAGGCCAAAAAGGUGGGCGGUCUCGUCUCUUUUUUGGACCCUGGAUCUAGGCUGUGUGAAUCUUAUUCCGCAGCCGACCUUGAAUCUCUCUUUCUGGGUCGGCCAGCCUGAAAUGCAUUCCACUGCGGCAAGGGAAAAUAAAGGCGUGAUAGUUUGACCUCUGAGUCGAUCUUUUCGCCGAAUAAAAAACCCUUGGGCCCGGUGAUUAGCAGGACCAGACGAAAGCGACCAGUCUCUGGUUGUCUUUUGAUCUUCAACUUGAUCUGAAAUCAGGUAGGAGUACCCGCUGAACUUAA